GAUUUUUCUGUGUCUUCCUCCAUAAAGUGGGGGAUAUAUAUCUUUCUGAGCUAGUAGAGCUGCUGGGAUGGGAGCUGUAGCCAGCACCAGGAUUGCAAAUUGCACAAGCUCCAAUCACAGACAGCUGGAACACUGCAGGUCUAACACUGAGAUGGCAGCAGACUGGAUGCAGCUGUGGAGGAAUGGAGUUUUCCAGCAGCAGGGAUGAGGGCACAGCCUGGGUGAGAGAUCCCCUGCCAGGCUCCUCUCUGUCCCUGCUCGAGCUCCUGACUUCAUCCACCAGCUGAAAACCCAAAUGCUACUUAUUUGUUCUCAGGAUGUGAAUCUGCAGCUUUUCUGUAAAUGCUGUAAAGUCUGGACUUAGCUGUGAUCUUCUUUUUGUUAAUCUUCCCCUCCCCAAAAAUCAAUCUGAUAUGGAUCUUCGGUAUUAUUUUCAUUUAGAUCUAAGCAAUUAAAAUGUCCUUAUGAGUUACUGCAGUUAAUUUAAAUGAUGUGCUUUGAGAGCUACAACCCCAAGCUCUGUAAAACACCUCCUAUGCCUCCCAUAUAAAUUGGAGCCUGAUUUAUGUGUGGGAGGCUAAGCCAGCAAAACUGCCCUGAGGGGAAGGUGUAGUUCAUUGAAAUAAAACUGAAAUUAAAUUAUCUCAAAUAAAAAUGCAAUACAGCUGCCUUCAGC